rnacentral:rRNA from 1 species
AUUGAACGCUGGCGGCAGGCUUAACACAUGCAAGUCGAGCGGGGUGAUGGUGCUUGCACUAUCACUUAGCGGCGGACGGGUGAGUAAUGCUUAGGAAUCUGCCUAUUAGUGGGGGACAACAUCUCGAAAGGGAUGCUAAUACCGCAUACGUCCUACGGGAGAAAGCAGGGGAUCACUUGUGACCUUGCGCUAAUAGAUGAGCCUAAGCCGGAUUAGCUAGUUGGUGGGGUAAAGGCCUACCAAGGCGACGAUCUGUAGCGGGUCUGAGAGGAUGAUCCGCCACACUGGGACUGAGACACGGCCCAGACUCCUACGGGAGGCAGCAGUGGGGAAUAUUGGACAAUGGGGGGAACCCUGAUCCAGCCAUGCCGCGUGUGUGAAGAAGGCCUUAUGGUUGUAAAGCACUUUAAGCGAGGAGGAGGCUCUUUUGGUUAAUACCCAAGAUGAGUGGACGUUACUCGCAGAAUGAGCACCGGCUAACUCUGUGCCAGCCGCCGCGGUAACAC